rnacentral:rRNA from 1 species
UGGCGGCGUGCCUAAUACAUGCAAGUCGAGCGAACGGACGAGAAGCUUGCUUCUCUGAUGUUAGCGGCGGACGGGUGAGUAACACGUGGAUAACCUACCUAUAAGACUGGGAUAACUUCGGGAAACCGGAGCUAAUACCGGAUAAUAUUUUGAACCGCAUGGUUCAAAAGUGAAAGACGGUCUUGCUGUCACUUAUAGAUGGAUCCGCGCUGCAUUAGCUAGUUGGUAAGGUAACGGCUUACCAAGGCAACGGUGCAUAGCCGACCUGAGAGGGUGAUCGGCCACACUGGAACUGAGACACGGUCCAGACUCCUACGGGAGGCAGCAGUAGGGAAUCUUCCGCAAUGGGCGAAAGCCUGACGGAGCAACGCCGCGUGAGUGAUGAAGGUCUUCGGAUCGUAAAACUCUGUUAUUAGGGAAGAACAUAUGUGUAAGUAACUGUGCACAUCUUGACGGUACCUAAUCAGAAAGCCACGGCUAACUACGUGCCAGCAGCCGCGGUAAUACGUAGGUGGCAAGCGUUAUCCGGAAUUAUUGGGCGUAAAGCGCGCGUAGGCGGUUUUUUAAGUCUGAUGUGAAAGCCCACGGCUCAACCGUGGAGGGUCAUUGGAAACUGGAAAACUUGAGUGCAGAAGAGGAAAGUGGAAUUCCAUGUGUAGCGGUGAAAUGCGCAGAGAUAUGGAGGAACACCAGUGGCGAAGGCGACUUUCUGGUCUGUAACUGACGCUGAUGUGCGGAAGCGUGGGGAU